CGUGCUAAUCUGCGAUAAGCGCCGGUAAGGUGAUAUGAACCGUUAUAACCGGCGAUUUCCGAAUGGGGAAACCCAGUGUGACUCGUCACACUAUCAUUAACUGAAUCCAUAGGUUAAUGAGGCGAACCGGGGGAACUGAAACAUCUAAGUACCCCGAGGAAAAGAAAUCAACCGAGAUUCCCCCAGUAGCGGCGAGCGAACGGGGAGGAGCCCAGAGCCUGAAUCAGCAUGUGUGUUAGUGGAAGCGUCUGGAAAGGCGCGCGAUACAGGGUGACAGCCCCGUACACAAAAGCGCAUGUGCUGUGAGCUCGAUGAGUAGGGCGGGACACGUGGUAUCCUGUCUGAAUAUGGGGGGACCAUCCUCCAAGGCUAAAUACUCCUGACUGACCGAUAGUGAACCAGUACCGUGAGGGAAAGGCGAAAAGAACCCCGGCGAGGGGAGUGAAAAAGAACCUGAAACCGUGUACGUACAAGCAGUGGGAGCCCCACCACUAAGCCAGUGGUGAACUCCACAUACGCAUCCUUUGCUGAGGAUACGGUUAACGGAGCGAAAGCGACGUUCAACCGCAAAACAAGCAGAGGGGGCUUAGUGGUGGGGUGACUGCGUACCUUUUGUAUAAUGGGUCAGCGACUUAUAUUCUGUAGCAAGGUUAACCGAAUAGGGGAGCCGGAGGGAAACCGAGUCUUAACCGGGCGUUAAGUUGCAGGGUAUAGACCCGAAACCCGGUGAUCUAGCCAUGGGCAGGUUGAAGGUUGGGUAACACUAACUGGAGGACCGAACCGACUAAUGUUGAAAAAUUAGCGGAUGACCUGUGGCUGGGGGUGAAAGGCCAAUCAAACCGGGAGAUAGCUGGUUCUCCCCGAAAGCUAUUUAGGUAGCGCCUCGUGAAUUCAUCUCCGGGGGUAGAGCACUGUUUCGGCUAGGGGGCCAUCCCGGCUUACCAACCCGAUGCAAACUGCGAAUACCGGAGAAUGUUAUCACGGGAGACACACGGCGGGUGCUAACGUCCGUCGUGAAGAGGGAAACAACCCAGACCGCCAGCUAAGGUCCCAAAGUCAUGGUUAAGUGGGAAACGAUGUGGGAAGGCCCAGACAGCCAGGAUGUUGGCUUAGAAGCAGCCAUCAUUUAAAGAAAGCGUAAUAGCUCACUGGUCGAGUCGGCCUGCGCGGAAGAUGUAACGGGGCUAAACCAUGCAC
rnacentral:rRNA from 1 species